CAGCAGCCGCGGGAAUACAGAGGAUGCAAGCGUUAUCCGGAAUGAUUGGGCGUAAAGCGUCUGUAGGUGGCUUUUCAAGUCCGCCGUCAAAUCCCAGGGCUCAACCCUGGACAGGCGGUGGAAACUACCAAGCUGGAGUACGAUAGGGGCAGAGGGAAUUUCCGGUGGGGCGGUGAAAUGCGUUGAGAUCGGAAAGAACACCAACGGCGAAAGCACUCUGCUGGGCCGACACUGACACUGAGAGACGAAAGCUAUGGGAGCAAAUGGGAUUAGAGACCCCAGUAGUCCCUGUCUCUUAUAC
rnacentral:rRNA from 1 species